rnacentral:rRNA from 1 species
UACGGAGGAUCCAAGCGUUAUCCGGAAUCAUUGGGUUUAAAGGGUCCGUAGGCGGUCAGAUAAGUCAGUGGUGAAAGCCCAUCGCUCAACGAUGGAACGGCCAUUGAUACUGUCUGACUUGAAUUAUUAGGAAGUAACUAGAAUAUGUAGUGUAGCGGUGAAAUGCCUAGAUAUUACAUGGAAUACCAAUUGCGAAGGCAGGUUACUACUAAUGGAUUGACGCUGAUGGACGAAAGCGUGGGGAGCGAACAGG